UAAUUUUUAAUUUAAUUUAAAAUAUAAUAUUUACAAUAUUAAAAUAUAAAUAAUUAUAAAUUUAAUUUAAAAUAAUUAAAAAUUAA
rnacentral:tRNA from 1 species